GACGAACCACACGAACGUUAUUCGGAAUCACUGGGCUUAAAGGGUGCGUAGGCGGCGCGGAAAGUAGGGUGUGAAAUCCCUCGGCUCAACCGAGGAACUGCGCUCUAAACUACCGUGCUCGAGGGAGACAGAGGUGAGCGGAACUUAGGGUGGAGCGGUGAAAUGCGUUGAUAUCCUAAGGAACACCGGUGGCGAAAGCGGCUCACUGGGUCUCUUCUGACGCUGAGGCACGAAAGCUAGGGUAGCGAACGGG
rnacentral:rRNA from 1 species